CAGGACGAACGCUGGCGGCGUGCUUAACACAUGCAAGUCGAACGAAGCGCUUAAACGGAUUUCUUCGGAUUGAAGUUUUUGCGACUGAGUGGCGGACGGGUGAGUAACGCGUGGGUAACCUGCCUCAUACAGGGGGAUAACAGUUAGAAAUGACUGCUAAUACCGCAUAAGCGCACAGUGCUGCAUGGCACAGUGUGAAAAACUCCGGUGGUAUGAGAUGGACCCGCGUCUGAUUAGCUAGUUGGUGGGGUAACGGCCUACCAAGGCGACGAUCAGUAGCCGGCCUGAGAGGGUGAACGGCCACAUUGGGACUGAGACACGGCCCAAACUCCUACGGGAGGCAGCAGUAGG
rnacentral:rRNA from 1 species